GGGUUCUUCAAGUUAGUCUCCCGGAUGGCAGCUCCGUAAGUUUGGUUGUAGUGGAGAAUCAAGAGGGACGGCAGUGUAAGACGUUCUGCUACUCAGGCCAUGGAACCCAGGACAAGAAUGUGGGACUAGCAGAGCUUAAAUAGUCUCGGGAAGGACCGACAGCGUUCCGGGCCCCUCUCACGGACAUCAACUUGAUCAGGUUCUGAUCCUCUAAAUGGCCAGAAGCAAGGCAUUCUUCCUUGAUGCAAAAGAAACCUGACUCUACAUCCAGUGGUGAUGCUACACUUCCACAGUCCCACCUUGAAGCCUGGCUGAUGUGUACACAACUGGAAGGUGAAUUCCUGUCAACCCUCAUGAAUAUUAAACCCACCUCAAGAGAACCUGUGCUUCAUUUUAUUAUGAAUGUUUUUGGUGCUGGACUACAGUGAAGAAUUAAGACACACAACCAGACAGAUUUAAUGUAAUGCUUUAUUGAAGAAACUCCAUUU